rnacentral:snoRNA from 1 species
UUUAUCAUCAAGGGAGCAGAGCUUUUUCAGACAGAGAUUUUUUUUGGCAGGAUAUCGUCUUUCAACAGUUUCAUUGGGCAUGGCUGUUGACGAUCCUGUCUCUCCAUAAUGACCGAGGAUUGAAUGGAUUGAAUCAUCAGAUACGGAACCGGGUUUACUCUUUUUUUACACUUCAACAAAGAAAAAAAUCAGCAACAACACAUACCAGGGCAGCAGCUUCAGUUAAUCAACAUC